ensembl:lncRNA
UUACAGACCUUUUCUUUGAACCAUGUUGGAAGAAAUAAAAAGUUUUUUUCCUUCAAGAAGAUGCAAGCACCUUAAGAGAAAAAUCCAACUAAUUAUCCAGAAAAGGCACAGUGCCCUGCAUUAUUGGGACAUUUUAUGCAAAUAGCAGUUAACCGUGUGAAACUGCUCCAUCGGUCUCUGUAACCCAGGCAAAGGCCCCUUGGAAGGAUUUCCAGCCCACUGCUGAGCCAGAAGCAUGGAUGUAUGAUGUGUCCACUCCCAGGUGAAAAUGAGCAGGCUUUGAACAGGCUGAGCUGUCAGUGGUGGCCCAGAUGGAAAAUGCAAAACAUCACCCAUAAAGUCUUCAGGAAAGGAACUCAUGGAUCUCCUUUUAAUUGUGAAGAGGUUCCCAGGCAUUUCUUCAUGGAUCACCUGCGUAGUCCAAGUCAUAGAUCAAGAAUCUACAGGAUUUAAAUGGCAAAUGUCAGCAUAUUUAUAAAUGGCUUUGGUAGAAUCAUAUUUUCAAACAUGCUUUUGCUCAUAAUUCUCUGUUAAGUGACAAGACCAUCACCUUCCUGUAAAUUAGUUCUUCCAGAACAUCUCAGUUUAGCCAGGUAACAACCACUGAAUGUUCACAAAACAUCCUUGGUGACUGACUUCUGAAGUAUACACCAAACAAGGAAGAGCAUCCAUGAUCCAUGGAGCCCCUGUAACCAGGCAAAUCUAUGGCAGCUACUAAGCACUUGAGAGAAACGUGGGAAAAUGUACCGUUGGGAAAGACAGAAGACGAAAGCCCAAUUCCAGGAUCCACUGGUUCAUGCAGCAACAUGCCUAGGCCUGACUUUGGUUGGUCUUUCUGUAUAAAGCAGAGCUGUGAAGAGGCCAGGAGUCCUUCCAAGGUUAGCAGGCUUCUGAGCUCCUGGAGGAAGGAGAAAAGGAGAACUAGGUCGCACUUGCUGUGCCUUGGUUGCCUGGAAUUGUUCUCCUGGUUGUGCUCAGGGAAAAGGACAACUUGACUUCAGUCUACUGGAAUGCACAUCAGCUGGGAGUGUCUGCUUGACCCUAAAAGGUUAUGUCAGAAACUUCCAAGCUGUGGAAUGUUGCUUGCUCUGUAGAAACACCAGAAGAUCUCACACCUGAAAGGACAACAUUCUAGACAAAAAUGUUCCAUAUCCUGGCCUUUAGAAAUGGGGACGCUGAUUUGCCGCAUGUGUUAAUGUGACUGUAGGAACACAGAUGGUUCUCAAGCUGCUGGACACGUCUGAUUUUAUUUGGUCAAAGUUAUAACCUUUGUGUUUCCUUACGAUAUUCUCUUGGGAAAGCUCUGGUGAUGGGUUCCUUUAGUGCUCCAACUGGAGUGAUCCUUCAAUUGCACUCAUUUGUGGCCACCUAGACUGCAAAAAAAAAAAAAAAGCGAAGAUCAGAUCUCAUUGACUAUUCCUGUUAUUGGAGAACUGGGGAGAGUUAUUAUCAGCAUGCCCAGAUUGUCUCAGGCUUCCCUGGUAGCUCAGAUGGUAAAGAAUCCGCUCACAAUGCAAGAGACCUUGGUUCGAUUCCUGGGUUGGGAAGAUCCCCUGGAGAAGGGAUAAGCUACCAACUCCAGUAUUCUUGGGCUUUCCUGGUGGCUCAGCUGAUAAAGAAUCUGCCUGCAUUGGGGGAGACCUGGAUUUGAUCCCUGGGUUGGGAAGAUCCCCUGGAGAAAGAAAAGGCUACCCACUCCAGCAUUCUGUCCUGGAGAAUUCAGGCCUGGAGGACAAUACAACCCAUGGGGUCACAAAGAGUUGCACAUGACUGAGCGACUUUCACUUUCAGAUUGUCUCUGUCUAUCCUAAUCUUUUUUUCUUAGUGUUAUUACAGAGAUAAAAUUGAUAUAACAUUGUACAGCCAUAAACUGUACAACACGUGGACUUGAUACAUUUACAAAUAUUGCAGAGAGUUUACUACCAUAUUAUUAGCUAAACCUCUACCACGUCACAUAAUGAACAUUCUUAUUUGUGAUGGGAACAAUUAAGAUCC